rnacentral:rRNA from 1 species
GAUGAACGCUGGCGGCGUGCCUAAUACAUGCAAGUCGAGCGAACAGAUGAGGAGCUUGCUCCUCGGACGUUAGCGGCGGACGGGUGAGUAACACGUGGAUAACCUACCUAUAAGACUGGGAUAACUUCGGGAAACCGGAGCUAAUACCGGAGAAUAUAUUGAACCGCAUGGUGCAAUAGUGAAAGUCGGUUUUGCUGGCACGUAUAGAGGGAUCCGCGCCGCAUGAGCUAGUUGGUAAGGUAACGGCUUACGAAGGCAACGAGGCGUAGCCGACCUGAGGGGGUGAUAGGCCGCCUUGGAGCUGAGCCGCGGUCCAGACUCCUACGGUAGGCCGCAGUAGGGAAUCUUCCGCAGUAGGCGAGAGCCUGACGGAGCGAGGCCGCGCGAGUGAUGACGGUCUUCCGAUCGUGAAGCUCUGUUAUGAGGUGAGAACAAAUGUGUAAGUAACUAUGCCCGUCGUGACGGUACCUAGUCAGAAAGCCCCGGCUAACUACGUG